rnacentral:tRNA from 1 species
GGGAUUGUGGCUCAGUGGUGGAGCGCUUGCCUAGCAUGUAUGAGGCCCUGGAUUCGAUCCUCAGCACCA